GGAGCCGUAGCGAAAGCGAGUUUUAACUGAGCGUUCAGUUACUUGACGUAGACCCGAAACCGGGCGACCUACCCAUGAGCAGGAUGAAGCGAAAGUAAAAUUUCGUGGAGGUCCGAACCCACGAGCGUUGAAAAGCUCGGGGAUGACUUGUGGGUAGCGGUGAAAUUCCAAUCGAGCCCGGAGAUAGCUGGUUCUCCCCGAAAUAGCUUUAGGGCUAGCCUCAAGGUGAGAGAUACGGAGGUAGAGCACUGAAUGUCCUAGGGGGUAUUGCACCUACCGAAGACUAUCAAACUCCGAAUGCCGUCAUCUUAUACUUGGGAGUCAGACUGUGGGUGAUAAGAUUCAUAGUCGAAAGGGCAACAGCCCAGAUCGUCAGCUAAGGUCCCUAAAUGUAAGUUAAGUGGUAAAGGAUGUGGGAUUGCACAGACAACCAGGAUGUUGGCUUAGAAGCAGCCACUCAUUCAAAGAGUGCGUAAUAGCUCACUGGUCGAGUGAUCCUGCGCCGAAGAUUUCCGGGGCUAAAACUUACUACCGAAGCUACGGCAUCAGUAAUGAUGGGUAGGGGAGCUUCCCAUACGGGUUGAAGCAUGACCGUAAGGACAUGUGGACAGUAUGGGAGUGAGAAUGUUGGCAUGAGUAGCGAGAUGUGGGUGAGAAUCCCACAGGCCGUAAACCCAAGGUUUCCAGGGGAAGGUUCGUCCGCCCUGGGUUAGUCGGGACCUAAGCUGAGGCCGAAAGGCGUAGGUGAUGGACAACAGGUUGAUAUUCCUGUACUACCGAUAACCGUUUGAGAGAAGGGAUGACACAGUAGGAUAAGCUAAGCACACUGUUGGUUAUGUGUGCCCAAGCAUUGAGGCAGUCAAAGUAGGCAAAUCCGCUUUGAUAAUGCUGGGAUGUGAUGGGGAGCGAAAUUUAGUAGCGAAGUAGCUGAUUUCACACUGUCAAGAAAAGUCUCUAUCGAGGUUAAAGGUACCCGUACCGCAAACCGACACAGGUGGGUGAGGAGAGUAUCCUAAGGCCAGCGAGAGAACUGUUGUUAAGGAACUCGGCAAAAUGACCCCGUAACUUAGGGAUAAGGGGUGCCACCAUCAGGUGGCCGCAGAGAAUAGGCCCAAGCGACUGUUUACCAAAAACAUAGGUUUCUGCUAAGUCGCAAGACGAUGUAUAGGAGCUGACGCCUGCCCGGUGCUGGAAGGUUAAGGGGAUCUGUUAGAGCAAUCGAAGCAGUGAACUUAAGCCCCAGUAAACGGCGGCCGUAACUAUAACGGUCCUAAGGUAGCGAAAUUCCUUGUCGGGUAAGUUCCGACCCGCACGAAAGGCGUAACGAUUUGGGCACUGUCUCAACAACAGACUCGGUGAAAUUGUAAUUCCGGUGAAGAUGCCGGAUACCUGCGACAGGACGGAAAGACCCCAUGGAGCUUUACUGUAGCUUGACAUUGGGUCUUGGUACUACAUGUACAGGAUAGGUGGGAGGCUUUGAAACCAGGACGCCAGUUUUGGCGGAGCCAUCCUUGGGAUACCACCCUUGUAGUACUGGGACUCUAACCAUAGGCCAUGAAUCUGGUCUUGGGACACUGUCAGGUGGGCAGUUUGACUGGGGCGGUCGCCUCCCAAAAGGUAACGGAGGCGCUCAAAGGUUCUCUCAGUACGGUCGGAAAUCGUACGUAGAGUGUAAAGGCAAAAGAGAGCUUGAUUGCAAGACAUACAGGUCGAGCAAGGAUGAAAAUCGGACUUAGUGAUCCGGUGGUUCUGCGUGGAAGGGCCAUCGC
rnacentral:rRNA from 1 species